UACGGAGGGUGCAAGCGUUAUCCGGAUUCACUGGGUUUAAAGGGUGCGUAGGUGGGCAGGUAAGUCCGUGGUGAAAUCUCUGAGCUUAACUCAGAAACUGCCGUGGAUACUAUUUGUCUUGAAUGUUGUGGAGGUGAGCGGAAUAUGUCAUGUAGCGGUGAAAUGCUUAGAUAUGACAUAGAACACCAAUUGCGAAGGCAGCUCACUACACAAUUAUUGACGCUGAGGCACGAAAGCGUGGGGAGUCAAACAGG
rnacentral:rRNA from 1 species